UGGNCGUUUAAAGAAUCCUAGGGGAAGUAUGCACUGAAACCCUCCCUUAUCUUCUUCUUCUUCCUCACGCACGAGGACCCCCACACCAAGCCUCCCGUCGCCGAGCCGUCUAGUCGUCCGUCAGUUGUCGUCCCUGCUUCUUUGUGUCCAUGGUCCGAGCCUCAUGCACCAGAUCUCUCCCAACCGUUCGUCAUUGCAAUCGGAGCGCCGCUCGUUCGCGCGUGGAUCGCUGCUGCUCAGAUCGAAGUCGUCAAACUUGAGCGAGCCAUCGUUCGUCCGCUUGGUCACGCCUCUAUUGUUUUUGCCGCUCGGUUUCAGGGGUCUGCCACCAUCCAGCCACGCGUCACCAUCUCCUCAGCGUUGUUGCUGUGGGUUUGCCGUCGCCGGAAUCGACCAAAUCUGCCGGUUUGGGUUAGAUUGGAAUCAUUGGAGGGUUUUGGGGUGCUGUCCAGCAAAGUUCGUGACAGAUUUCAACAGGAUUUUGGUUGGGUUGCUUGUUUGAAGUUUUGGAGUGACUUUGGAACUAAAAUCCAAUUUAAUAGAGCUUUUGGAGACCGAAAUUUUGGAAUGAUUGUUGAUCAAGCUUCACUUUGAGUGUUAUUUGGAGUGUGUGCGAGAAUUGAUGAAUGAAAUUUGGGACUCUUUUGGAUUGGUUUAGAUUUUGGAUUUUGUAUUGUAGGUUCUAUUUUGAAUUCUUUGGUCGGUUACCGAUUGUUUGUUUGGAGAAUAAUAUUUGGACUUGCAAUUUAAGGUAAGUGUUUUUCUACGUCCCUACUCCUUGGAUUGUUUACUUAAGACGAACUAGUAGGCGAACCAAUCAUCCCUACUCCUUGGAUUGUUUACUUAAGAUUACUUAGAUUGUUUGCUUAAGAUUUCUUGGGCUGAUAAUUUAUGAUUGAUUGAACUCCAUGACUAUGGCGUUGACUAACUAGAUUGGAAUGUUUAUUUAGAUUGAUGGGAUCGUCUAUUUUAGACUGAUUGGACUAUCCGGUUGGACUUUAUUUUAGUCUAAUUAGACUAUCUAUUUUAGAUUGAUUGGACUAUUUUGACCAUGAUGAAUACUAAAAUAUAACACAUGAAUUAUAUGAAACCUGAUACAUGUUAAGUUAUAGGGUUUCUAUUAGCUUUUCUCAUAUGGGCAAGUGUACACUCAAGACCGUAUAUGUGCACAUUAUGUUUGAUUUGUGGGCUUUCAGGUUACACACUAUGGUUGAUUCAUGUUCCUUCGGGUUCAUGUCUAUGAUUAAUUUGUGGACCUUCAGGUUACACACUAUGACUAAUUUAUGUUCUUUUGGGUUCAUGUUUAUGAUUGAUUUGUGGACCUUCGGGUUACACACUAUGAUUGAUUUACACACUAUGACUAAUUUAUGUUCUUUUGGGUUCAUGUUUAUGACCUUCGGGUUACACACUAUGAUUGAUUUAUAUUCUUUUGUGGACCUUCAGGUCACAUACUAUGACUGAUGCGUGUUCCUUCGAGAUCAUGUUUACGACUAGUAUGUGACUCCUUCGGGAUCACAAUGAUUGAUAUGAUGGAUGUACACUGAUGCUUGGAUAAAUUAGCUAACAGGUAAUGACAAGAAUGGAUCGGGGAGGGAUAGACAGGAUCUGUGAUAGAGCCAUAUGGGGACAUUAGAAAUUGCUUCCACUCAGUCUAUGGUUUUUCUUAAGUUAAUAGAAAACAACAGAAAAUUUUAUUUUAUUAUUUUGAUUAAUUUCUUUGUAAAUGAUUUCAGGGACUCCAAAUAAAGGUUUUAUUUAUUUGUUAUUUAUUAAA